rfam:Schistosoma mattheei strain Denwood, Zambia genome assembly, scaffold: SMTD_scaffold0013339
AUCCAGCUGACGAGUUACAAAUAGGACGAAACGCACGUACUGGAA